AACGAACGCUGGCGGCAGGCCUAACACAUGCGAGUCGAGCGAGGACUUCGGUCCUAGCGGCGGACGGGUGAGUAACGCGUGGGAACGUGCCCUUUGCUUCGGAAUAGCCCUGGGAAACUGGGAGUAAUACCGGAUGAGCCCUUUGGGGGAAAGAUUUAUCGGCGAAGGAUCGGCCCGCGUUGGAUUAGGUAGUUGGUGGGGUAAUGGCCUACCAAGCCGACGAUCCAUGGCUGGUUUGAGAGGAUGAUCAGCCACACUGGGACUGAGACACGGCCCAGACUCCUACGGGAGGCAGCAGUGGGGAAUCUUAGACAAUGGGGGAAACCCUGAUCUAGCCAUGCCGCGUGAGCGAUGAAGGCCUUAGGGUUGUAAAGCUCUUUCAGCUGGGAAGAUAAUGACGGUACCAGCAGAAGAAGCCCCGGCUAACUCCGUG
rnacentral:rRNA from 1 species